AUAUCCGGAAACGCUCGACGCCUAAAGACAAACAACCGGGGGAAAAUACCUCUCCCAACCUCCCCCCUCCCCCUCUCACCCGGUCGGGUGAAUCACCCCAACCUGGCUGGCGCAUAUGACAAUUCACCGGGCAGUCUGGCUCUCGAGAACCCCAUAAACGCGAACGGCCCCCGCGCGGGAUUGCACUCCCGCCCGAGGGCCUCGCCGCUGAGGAAGACAGGACCCUUCCCG
rnacentral:ncRNA from 1 species